CGACCGCGACCCCAGGUCAGGCGGG
rnacentral:rRNA from 3 species